UACGGGGGGGGCAAGCGUUGUUCGGAAUUACUGGGCGUAAAGGGCUCGUAGGCGGCCAACUAAGUCGAACGUGAAAUCCCCAGGCUCAACCUGGGAACUGCGUCCGAUACUGGAUGGCUUGAAUCCGGGAGAGGGAUGCAGAAUUCCAGGUGUAGCGGUGAAAUGCGUAGAUAUCUGGAGGAAUACCGGUGGCGAAGGCGGCAUCCUGGACCGGCAUUGACGCUGAGGAGCGAAAGCCAGGGGAGCAAACGGG
rnacentral:rRNA from 1 species